rnacentral:rRNA from 1 species
CCUACGGGGGGCUGCAGUGGGGAAUAUUGGACAAUGGGGGCAACCCUGAUCCAGCCAUGCCGCGUGUGUGAAGAAGGCCUUUUGGUUGUAAAGCACUUUAAGCGAGGAGGAGGGUACUUAGGUUAAUACCCUGAUGUAUCGGACGUUACUCGCAGAAUAAGCACCGGCUAACUCUGUGCCAGCAGCCGCGGUAAUACAGAGGGUGCGAGCGUUAAUCGGAAUUACUGGGCGUAAAGCGCGCGUAGGCGGUUAUGUAAGUUGGAUGUGAAAUCCCCGGGCUUAACCUGGGCACUGCAUUCAAAACUGCAUAGCUAGAGUAUGGGAGAGGAAGGUAGAAUUCCAGGUGUAGCGGUGAAAUGCGUAGAGAUCUGGAGGAAUACCGAUGGCGAAGGCAGCCUUCUGGCCUAAUACUGACGCUGAGGUGCGAAAGCAUGGGGAGCAAACAGGAUUAGAUACCCCAGUAGUC